ACAGAGGUCCCAAGCGUUGUUCGGAUUCACUGGGCGUAAAGGGUGCGUAGGCGGUCGGGUAAGUCUGAUGUGAAAGCUCGGAGCUCAACUCCGAAAUGGCAUCGGAAACUAUUCGGCUCGAGGAAUGGAGGGGAGACUGGAAUACUUGGUGUAGCAGUGAAAUGCGUAGAUAUCAAGUGGAACACCAGUGGCGAAGGCGAGUCUCUGGACAUUUCCUGACGCUGAGGCACGAAAGCCAGGGGAGCAAACGG
rnacentral:rRNA from 1 species